UACGCUAUAUGUUCUCGAAAUUCGUUCAAUAUAACUCAUUGUAAUUAUAACAAAAAGUUGCACUGUUAUGCAGAAUGAUAGAAAUCAGAUGUGAAAAUGACAACAGUGAAAGACUCCGUUUCAGUCUAAAAUCGAAGGCUUUUCAGAACCUUAAAUCCGUUCAAACACAGGGAACAAUGGUACAAAUAUAAAGGCGGCUACUUUCCUCGGAAAUGUUGGGUGCAAUACAGCUAGUGCAAUGGAAAGGUUGCUACAAACAACAAACAGUGAGAGCUGCUACAGAUUAGUUUAUGAGGCAAACACCAUCCUCUUCCCCUUAGAGCUCAUCCUGCAGUGCAGAAGAACAAAAUGUGAGUUCACUGAUUUGAGAAAUAAACAGAAAAUGGAGAAAUCGUGGGGUAAUGGGGGUUCAACUUACAUGAUAAUCAUCCCAGCGAUCACGGCGCUGCAAAUAUUUCAACGCAAAUCUCAGUACACCAACAAUGCAGCAAAUAGCAUUUCCGAUUUCGAGUUUCAGGCCAACAUGAUAAUAAUGCUUA
rnacentral:lncRNA from 1 species